CUUUACUCUAGUUUGGCACUGAGUCAUACAUAUAUUUGUGCAGGAUAGGUGGGAGGCUAUGAUGGUAGGACACUAGUUCUAUCAAAGCCAACAUUGAGAUACCACCCUUGUAUACAUAUGCCUCUAACCCACUUAUAGCAAGGACCAUGCUUGAUGGGGAGUUUAACUGGGGCAGUUGCCUCCUAAAAUGUAACAAAGGCACACAAAGGUAGGCUAGGUCCAAAUGGAAAUCAAACUGGUCAUGUAUUCACACAAGCCUGCUUGACUGAGAGACCUACAAGUCAAUCAGAGACAAAAGUCAAUGAAAGUGAUCCAGCACCAACACAUGGGAGUGGUGUCACUCAACAAAUAAAAGUUA
rnacentral:rRNA from 1 species